AAUUGCUAUCUGCGCUGGUUUUUGGUAACGGCUGAUUUGUAAUGAUCGCAGGCUAGCCUACGUUUUGGAAGUGCAAUUUGUAGAAGCUGAUGUAGUGUUUGAAAAGUGUGGAUGAACAUACUACCAUUGCUUGAAUUUAGUUCCGAUUCCAGAAUAAAGUGAGAUAUAGGCUCACAAUACAGGAUGUAUCUAACAAGUCUGUCAACGUUGGGAAAAAGUAUAAAGCACGACCAUGGUAUUGAUCAAUCUUCUUUCACGUUUUUCGAGGUAACCUGUACAGCACGUAACAUAUGUGUGACACGGGUGCGUGUUUACUACUGGGAAUACAUUGUUGCUAAAGUACAUUUGUUAUAAAGAUGAUGGAGUGAGAUUACGGUCUAUCUGAACCAUACAUGCAGCCCCGUCAGGUCAUUUUUGGGC